AAAAGUCAAAGACGGUCCAAAUCUUUGAGUUAUCUAACAACACCAUGAAUGAAGAUGGAAUGGAUGACACAUAUCCGGGCAUGGAUCAUAUAUCAACCGCAAUAUUAAAAGGCUCAUGGUGCAACCACAGACGGAUGGCAUUAUGGGUGGCCUGGAGGUUUAGAUCCGUAAUCAUACAGAUCUCAUCCCAAGCAUCCUGAUUCAGGGUCCAGUUGAUUCAGUUGCUUCCCCACAUCCUCCAGUAGCUAUGCCUGGGAGAGAAGUGCCAGUAGUGCUAGCAGCACUGCAUGUGGGGUGGAGGUGGUCCGCCAGUGACGGCUCCACCAUAAGAGGGUUGCAACACCCAGAUUCUUCCAUAUUGUGUUUGUCCAUGCUCGGGAAACUACUAGCCAGGACU